rnacentral:rRNA from 1 species
AGAAUCAACGCUGGCGGCGUGCCUAACACAUGCAAGUCGAGCGCGAAAGGGGGGGCAACCCCCCAAGUAGAGCGGCGAACGGGUGAGUAACGCGUGGGUCAUCUACCUUCGAGUGGGGAAUAACAGCGGGAAACUGCUAGCUAAUACCGCAUGACAUCGCCGGGCCUUACGGCCUGGCGAUCAAAGCCGGGGACCGCAAGGCCUGGCGCUUGAAGAGGAGCCCGCGUCCGAUUAGCUAGUUGGCGGGUAAUGGCCCACCAAGGCGACGAUC